CGAGUGAAGCUGGAUAGCUUAGCAUGGAUAACUUAGCCAACCCACUAAAUUUGAGUUUUUUUUCGGAUAAAUCGACAAGUAUUUCAUUACAUCUUGGAUGAAGCACACAUACAACGUACAUGUGGUAACUCGAGAGGUGUAGCCCAUAGAUGAAUUACAAAAGGAUUAUACCGAUCAAAGAUCAAUAUACCACGUCCAAAUUCCCCUCAAUACCAAAGCCAUCAAUAUCAAAAGUUUUAAAACUACCUCUACUGAUCAUCGCACUAACCACCGACUUGGCGAACCGCAACUCUAAAACGAAAGAAGAAAAUCAAAACAAGCAAACCAAAGGCUAAAUUGCCCAGAUCCGUACGAAAAGACAAGACAAAGAAAAGAAAGCAGUGGAGCUUGCUACACACCAGAUGAUAGAGAUGUUGCUGGAGUGAGAAGCUACUCCGCAACCGCCGAAUCGAGUUAUGUCGAUGGGCGGGUCCCAUUCAUGUGACAAGCCUGUAUCACCUGUGAGCUGCCGAGACCUUCCUCUUCGGUGAUUUGGAGAGGGAUAGUCCCUGGACUUGUACCGUAACCAGAUCCGGGUUUGCUUCCACGGUGGCCGUGUUUUCCGAUGCUAUGUGCGGCUCGUUCAGCUCCAUCACCACCGUUGCUGCUCCUGUGCGCGAUCCAGGAGUCCUAGGUGUCACCGGGCCGAUUUGGUUGCUGGGUUUGGGAGGCAUGAGGCAUCCAAUGGUCGAGGUGUGCGAUUUGCUUGGAGAGGUGGGUUGAUGGAUGUGUAUGGUGAGCGAGGUUUGAUAUGUAUGUGGGUGGGAGAGGUGAUGAGUAGCCGCUGCUCGAUAGGGACUUGCCAGAGCAAUUAGAAAUGUGAGGACAAAGAAGAAAGAAAAAAAAGAACGGCCGACUCGCGGCGAGGCCAAACCCAGAGCUGGGGAGGACAAACCCUAGCGCCAGGGGAAAUCAUCCACUGAAUUUGAGUUGAUGAUAUGCUUGUUCUCGAGAUGAUUCCCUCUGCUCAACGCUUCAAAAUUAUAAAUUAUAAAUUAUAAAAUUAGUUACCACCACAAUUACAAUUCAACCGUGAAUUGCAAUUCAACCCACCAUCAAAAAGUGAAUCUCUCUCCUUCCAGUAGGCACAUGGGUCCCAUUGUACAUAUAGAUUUUCAUCCAUGGCCCCAGUUUUACCAAUCCAAACUCGUUGGAUGGUUUAGUAACAGUAAUUCCUUCACCACAUAACUAGCAUUGAAAUCAGUCACUAUGAUUGGAGAGUUUACAAGGAGCUGGAGUGAAAGAAAUGCAUAUAUAUGAAAACAAAAUAGAGUGAGAGAGAGAGAGAGAGAGCUUACUAGCUAGUUCCUUUGCUUAGUGCGUCACCACCAAAGCCACAAAGAGGAAAAGGAACAAAUAGAUGGCAGCAGAGCUUUGCUCAACUUAGCUUAGCUUUGCUUUCUGGAGAGAGAGAGAUAAGAGAGAAAUAUGGGGAGAGGUAGAGUGGAACUGAAGAGGAUUGAAAACAAGAUCAACAGACAAGUAACGUUUGCAAAGAGAAGGAAUGGGCUGCUGAAGAAAGCUUAUGAGC
rnacentral:lncRNA from 1 species